rnacentral:rRNA from 1 species
GUACAACUCUGAGCGGUGGAUCACUCGGCUCG